rnacentral:rRNA from 1 species
AGAGUUUGAUCCUGGCUCAGAACGUACGCUGGCGGCACGCUUAACACAUGCAAGUCGAACGAAGUAGCAAUACUUAGUGGCAGACGGGUGAGUAACAUGUGGGUAUCUGCCCUUUGGCCUGGAAUAACACGAGGAAACUUGUGCUAAUACCGGAUAAGUCUUUACGGAGAAAGCUUUAUGCACCAUUGGAUGAGCCCGCACUUGAUUAGUUUGUUGGUGGGGUAAUGGCCUACCAAGACUUUGAUCAAUAGCUGAUUUGAGAGGAUGAUCAGCCACAUUGGGACUGAGACACGGCCCAAACUCCUACGGGAGGCAGCAGUGGGGAAUCUUGCACAAUGGAGGAAACUCUGAUGCAGCGAUGCCGCGUGAGUGAAGAAGGCCCUUGGGUUGUAAAGCUCUUUCGUCGGGGAAGAAAAUGACUGUACCCGAAUAAGAAGGUCCGGCUAACUUCGUGCCAGCAGCCGCGGUAAUACGAAGGGACCUAGCGUAGUUCGGAAUUACUGGGCUUAAAGAGUUCGUAGGUGGUUGAAAAAGUUGGUGGUGAAAUCCCAGAGCUUAACUCUGGAACUGCCAUCAAAACUUUUCAGCUAGAGUUUGAUAGAGGAAAGCAGAAUUUCUAGUGUAGAGGUGAAAUUCGUAGAUAUUAGAAAGGAUACCAAUUGCGAAGGCAGCUUUCUGGAUCAUUACUGACGCUGAGGAACGAAAGCAUGGGUAGCGAAGAGGAUUAGAUACCCUCGUAGUCCAUGCCGUAAACGAUGUGUGUUAGACGUUGGAAAUUUAUUUUCAGUGUCGCAGCGAAAGCGAUAAACACACCGCCUGGGGA